GCUUAUACUCGACCGUCAGCGGCACGUGCGAUCGCGCGAGCUUUCGCGAGCGAACGCGGUCACGAAGCCCUGACGAGUAGGAGGGUCGCGGCGGUGAGCGCAGAAGGGCUGGCCGCGAGGCCGUCUGGAGCCGCCGUCGGUGCAGAUCUUGGUGGUAGUAGCAAAUACUCCAGCGAGGCCCUGGAGGACUGACGUGGAGAAGGGUUUCGUGUGAACAGCCGUUGCACACGAGUCAGUCGAUCCUAAGCCCUAGGCGAAAGCCGAUGUCGAUGCGGUGUAGUUUUUACGAUAAUCAAUCGAGAUCAUACUACUACGAUGACGUCGACGUCGACGACGACGACGACGGCGGCGACGAAAUAAAUUUUAAUUCGUCGCCGUCGUCCGUCGAACGACGACGACGACGAAAUAGUUAGUAUGUAAUAUAACGCGAGAGCACACACCCGUCGGGCGAAAGGGAAUCCGGUUCCUAUUCCGGAACCUGGCAGCGGAACCGUCAAAAAGUCGGGC
rnacentral:rRNA from 1 species